UGGGGGAUAUUGCACAAUGGGCGAAAGCCUGAUGCAGCGACGCCGCGUGGGGGAUGAAGGCCUUCGGGUUGUAAACUUCUUUUGCUCUGAACAAGGCAUGCUAAUGGGUGUGUUGAGUGUAGGGGUUGAUUAGCGCCGGCUAACUACGUGCCAGCAGCCGCGGUAAUACGUAGGGCGCGAGCGUUGUCCGGAAUUAUUGGGCGUAAAGGGCUUGUAGGUGGCUGGUUGCGUCUGUCGUGAAAGCUCAUGGCUUAACUGUGGGUUUGCGGUGGGUACGGGCUGGCUUAAGUGCAGUAGGGGAGGGUGGAAUUCCUGGUGUAGCGGUGGAAUGCGCAGAUAUCAGGAGGAAUACCGGUGGCGAAGGCGGGUCUCUGGGCUGUUACUGACACUGAGGAGCGAAAGCAUGGGGAGCGAACAGG
rnacentral:rRNA from 1 species